rnacentral:rRNA from 1 species
GUAUUUGUUAUGUUCCUGAAACCCAAAGGAUUUGGCGGUAUUUUAGCCCUUUCAGAGGAACCUGCCCCUUAAUUCGACAUCCCACGAUUUUACUUACUUUUACUUGUAUGUCAGUUUGUAUAUCUCCGUCAUAAGAGAGUCUUUUUAGAGUAAAUUUUCUUUUUCUUUAAAUAAUAAUAUGUCAGGUCAAGGUGCAAUUUAUGUAAAAGUGGAGGUGGGUUACAAUAUAUUUAUAUACAUGGAUUGAUGUUUUUAUAGCAUUAUGAAGGUGGAUUUGAUAGUAAGGUUACUUAUUUUUAUUAACCUGAUUCUGGCUCUAAAAUAUGCACACAUCGCCCG